rnacentral:tRNA from 1 species
GCCGGGGUAGCUCAGUUGGUUAGAGCGUGGGAUUCAUAAACCCAAGGUCGACGGUUCAAUUCCGUCCCCCGGCACCA